rnacentral:rRNA from 1 species
CGACCGGCGGACGGGUGAGUAACACAUAGGAACCUGCCCUGAAGAGUGGGACAACCUGGGGAAACCUAGGCUAAUACCGCAUACUACUUUUUGGAGGAAAACCUGGCGUGAGCUGGGGCUUUAGGAGGGGCCUAUGUCCGAUUAGCUAGUUGGUGAGGUAAAGGCUUACCAAGGCGAUGAUCGGUAGCUGGUCUGAGAGGACGGCCAGCCACACUGGGACUGAGACACGGCCCAGACUCCUACGGGAGGCAGCAGUGGGGAAUCUUGGACAAUGGGGGCAACCCUGAUCCAGCGAUGCCGCGUGGGUGAAGAAGGCCUUCGGGUUGUAAAACCCUUUAGGCUGGGAAGAAGGUGCUG